rnacentral:rRNA from 1 species
AUUGAACGCUGGCGGCAUGCUUUACACAUGCAAGUCGAACGGUAACAGGUUAAGCUGACGAGUGGCGAACGGGUGAGUAAUGCAUCGGAACGUGCCCGGUCGUGGGGGAUAACGCAGCGAAAGCUGCGCUAAUACCGCAUACGAUCUGAGGAGGAAAGCGGGGGACCGUAAGGCCUCGCGCGAUCGGAGCGGCCGAUGUCAGAUUAGGUAGUUGGUGGGGUAAAGGCUCACCAAGCCAACGAUCUGUAGCUGGUCUGAGAGGACGACCAGCCACACUGGGACUGAGACACGGCCCAGACUCCUACGGGAGGCAGCAGUGGGGAAUUUUGGACAAUGGGCGAAAGCCUGAUCCAGCAAUGCCGCGUGCAGGAAGAAGGCCUUCGGGUUGUAAACUGCUUUUGUACGGAGCGAAAAGGUCUCCUCUAAUACAGGGGGCUCAUGACGGUACCGUAAGAAUAAGCACCGGCUAACUACGCGCCAGCCGCCGCGGUAA